ACAUCGGCCGACAGCGCGGGAAAUGAGAGAGAGAGAGAGAGAGAGAGAGAGAGAGAGAGAGAGAGAGAGAGAAAGAGAGAGGAAGAGAGAGAGAGAGAAACACGAAGAGGUUCAUGCUUGAGUUACUUCGUCUAGUGCGGGAUAGCACGAUGGAUUUAUGGAGCUACUACCAACUGUUAAGAGAGAAGUCCACACUGCUUCAAACUGAUUUAUCAACUACGAGCUCUCAGGCCAUUUCAAAGCAGAAUUUGAAGUAGUCUUUCCUGGAAGUCCUGGAAGUCUUUCAACAGAGUGAAUCAACAGAGGACAGGCACUUCAGCAUUUAACUGCAUUUACCGACCCUGCUUGGUGCUGUAAUGAGGCCUGUGGAGAGAGGGGGGGCUUCUCCAGAGAGAGGGAAGUUACAAACCAGACCGGGAUGCUAAAAGUGGAGAAAUGCGAGUAUUUUCAGGGGACUCCAGCAGGGAAACUCAGCCUUCAUCUCCUAGUGUCCUGCCAUUUCCCAGAGUCUGCGGACGGUGGCCAUUUUGUGCAGAAGACAGAGCAGCAGCUUCAACUAAGCUUCACUAACACACUGGAAUUGGCUCAUAACACACUGGAAAUGGUUCAAUGUGGACACAUUAAGCACUGAUGUCUGGUUCUUUAGCCACUAUUGUGAACAAUACUAACUCUAAGUUUAGAAUUACUCAUCAAAUCACUCUGAAUUACUUUGCUUACAUCUUAAUGAUUAAAUGAUGCAAAGACGUUUAGAAUAACUGGUUAAACUCACCUUAAAGUAAUCUCUAAGACUUGCGUAUGCUAUAUGACAUACUGUUAUCUGAUUAACUGACAGAAGUACACUGCAUAGAUUAAAAACAGCAACCGCUCUGGGCUUCAGCCAUUUUUUAGAUGAAGACUAUGAAAGCAAACCUUGAACAGCAAACAUCUUAACCAGCCCAGUGUAUCCUGCCUUUUAACCUAAUAUUCAGCAUGUGUUCUCACGGAUCAACUCAAACUCCCUUUACAAGAUUUCUUGGCAAUUCAAUCAAGAUCUCACAGACAAGAUUAAGGGUCCAAAUCAUCAUCUACCUGCACAGCACAGCUCAGUCAGAUUAGUUUAUUACACAAAAAACACAAACAAACAAAUACAACUGCUACAUAAUGUAUCUUUUAUAAGAUAUUCUGCCACUUCUGCCUAUUCUAGCCACUUUCAUUUGGAAACAUCUACAUUGCAGGGCUGCAUGAUAAACUGAAAGGGAUAAGACUGAAUUAGAAAGUGCAGAAUCAUUUAAUAGUGCUAACUUUAGCAUCCUUUAGUAGUAAGUUCAAACAUUGAGCAGGGCAUUUUUCCUCUCUACUGAAACCAGUCAUUGGUGAUUUCCAUACCAGCUACUUUACAGCAUGGCUACAUGUUACAGCAGGUCAGCAAAGUGCAACAUACACAGCAAUCAAGCAUUUUGCCUGAUCUGGUCAUAACUCUACAGUGAUCCCUCUGCCAUUAGCUCCUCAACAAACUCCCACUGGUAAUGACCCUCACAUAGAACACCCUCAGAAAAAAGAGGAAUGGGGAGAAGUUAGAUGAUGGGGUAUUCAGUUAUAUACUACUAUUCAGACAUUUGGCACUGAUCAUUUCAAUAAUGGAAAAACAACUUCACAGAAUGCAAUGCAAUGACUUAAAUGUGCUAAUCCUGUGCAACUUUGUAGCUUUCUAAUAGUUUUGUGUGAAGAAAGUGAAGAAUCACUUGAUUUGUCCAUAAUGACAAACAGAGCUUUAGAUGAAUCUAAAAUGACUGAAAGAAAUCAAAUAAAGCUCAAAUAAAACCGAUAUCCAGAAUCCAUCAUAAUUCAAAAGUGACGAUUAAAUUCUGAGGCAGAAAUCUUAUGAUAAUUUGCAUCACAGGGCUAAUUAUCAGUGUCAGGUGCAAGAGCAUGCAGUUAAGCAAGACAGUGCAGGUGGUAGCAGAACAACACUAUGUUGCCAAAAGUAUUUGCUCGUCUGCCUUCACAUGCAUAUGAACUUAAGUGACAUUCCAUUCUUAAUCCAUAGGGUUUAAUAUGUUGUUGGCCCAUCCUUUUCAGAUAUAACAGAUUCUACUCUUCUGAGAAGACUAUCCACAAGGUUAAGGUGUGUUUAUGGUAAUUUUUGCCAAUUCUUCCAGAAGUGCACUUGUGAGGUCAGACACUGAUGUUGGACGAGAAGGCCUGGAUCACAGUCUCCGCUCUAAUUCAUCCCAAAGGUGCUCUAUCAGGUUGAAGUCAGGAC